UCAAAAGUGAAAAAAGAAAACUGUGAGUUUUGAAGUAAAAUGAAUGGUAUUUGAGAUGAUAUAAACUGGCUAAAGCGAUACAAUGAAUCCAAGGGUUGUACUGCAUUGUGUACUGCUAACUGUACUGUGUAUAGGAUCUGUGGACCCAAAAGAGGAAGAGCAGGCUCGAUCUUUAGACGAUGAAUCAUUACAAUCUCAAGUAUUCUCUGCUGCUAGAAAUCUAGGAUAUGGAUUCAG